rnacentral:misc_RNA from 1 species
GUCGGCUCUAAUGGGUCGGUUGCGGACACGUUUUAAAGAAAGAGAAGCGAAUUCGAAAAAGAAAGAAAGACAACCUAACAAAGAAAAAUGGGAAGUGAUUUCUUUAGCGAAUCUGAAACGUGGGUUUCUUCUGUGAACGGAAUUCGAGAAGACCCAGAUGAUGAAACCUCCAUUGAAGAAGGUGAAGGAAUUGGGUUGGAUUCGGAUUUGGAGGGGUCGGCUCUAAUGGGGGCGAAGAACAAGUUGUUGAAGAAGAGGAG